AAGCUUUGAAGGUUCAAGUUAAAAUGGGAAUUAGGUUUAGGAUUGGUGGAAUAGUUAGUUCACUUUGGUCAACUGGUUGACCAAAAAGUCAACAGUUGACCAAAAGUCAACUCAGGUAGAAAAAUAUUUUUUUAUAUGGAAUGAUUUGUAAUGUAAUAUAAUGAUACCUUGUAAUGCUAGAUUGAUAUUUCCUUUGAAAUGAAUGGACUUGGAAAUGAAACGAACUUGAGUGAAACAUGAUUUAAUGGCAUGGACCUUGAAUAAAUGAUGACUUAAUGAAUUUGAACGAAUGACUUAAUGGAAUGAAUUUGAAUGAAAGAUUCACUAAUGACUCUUGUAUUAAGAUGAAAGGCAUGUGAAUCAUGCCAUUUGAAUGAAUGAAAAGAACCUCAACCAAGCAAUUAAGACCAUGAACAUGAAUGAAAUAGAUAUUGUCAUGGCAUGGAAAUGGACCUGAACAAAUGAACUUCAACCAAGCAAUAUGAUUAUGAACAUGUAAAACCUUG
rnacentral:lncRNA from 1 species